AUGUUCCGCGUUCGGCUAGAGAAUGACACCAUCAUCCUAGGCUAUAUUUCAGGAAAGAUACGGUCUAGUUCUAUACGAAUACUGAUGGGGGAUAGGGUCAAAAUUGAAGUAAGUCGUUAUGAUUCAAGCAAGGGACAUAUAAUUUAUAGACUUCCCCAUAAGGAUUCGAAGCGUAUCGAAGACUCGAAGGAUAGCGAAGAUUUGAAGGAUAGCGAAGAUUUGAAGGAUACCAAAGAUUCAAAGGAUUAG
rnacentral:rRNA from 1 species